CGAGAUGGGCGGAUCUGUGCACUCCACCACCACCGCCACUGGGCUAGACGGGAGCAGAGCAGAGAGAUUACGGCGCGGCGCGGCGUGGUGUGGAGGAGGAUCCAGGCCAGCACCAGCCGAGCGAGGGAGGGACCGGCACUGGCAGGGCGGCCUCGUGGCCGGCCGUGCUCGUUUUGGAAUUUCUAGUGGCGUGCGCUGUGCGAGAGUGCGUGCGCGGCGUGGGGGCGGUUGGCGGGUCGAUCGCAGCCACCUUCCGACGGUCGGUCGCCCCCUUCUCCCUCUGCCCUCACCGCACUUGCUUCGCCUUCAAAUGUUCACGCCGCCACGUCCACGCGUCUUUACUUCCUCUGCACUACUGCCUGCUGCGGCUGGUUCAGCUGCCACUGCCAGUGCCAGGUGAACGAGCUCGCGAGCUCGCGUC
rnacentral:lncRNA from 1 species